rnacentral:RNase_P_RNA from 1 species
UCGGCGUGGCGAGCGGUCGCUUGUGAUAAACAAGAGGAAAGUCCGAGCUGCAAUAAGACAGAGUUGCGUCUAACGGACGCCGUGGGAAACCAUAGGGAAAGUGCAACAGAAAGCAAACCGCCAUAGCGUUCGCGCCGUGGCAAGGGUGAAAGGGUGGGGCAAGAGCCCACCGCGCGCAUGGAGACAUGGGCGGCAGUGCAAACCCAACUCGCAGCAAGAAUAGAAGGUAAGGUCUUAUGAGAUACUAUUCGCUAGAACUGGUUUGCAAAAAUCGGUGUAGAUAAAUGACCGCACAGACAGAACUCGGCUUAUAGCCACGCCUUUUAU